UACGUAGGGGGCGAGCGUUGUCCGGAAUCAUUGGGCGUAAAGCGCGUGUAGGCGGCCCGGUAAGUCCGCUGUGAAAGUCCAGGGCUCAACCCUGGGAUGCCGGUGGAUACUGUCGGGCUCGAGUCCGGAAGAGGCGAGUGGAAUUCCUGGUGUAGCGGUGAAAUGCGCAGAUAUCAGGAGGAACACCGGUGGCGAAGGCGGGUCUCUGGGCCGAUGACUGACGCUGAGGAGCGAAAGCAUGGGUAGCGAACAGG
rnacentral:rRNA from 1 species